AUUGAGCGCUGGCGGCAUGCCUUACACAUGCAAGUCGAACGGCAGCACGGGUGCUUGCACCUGGUGGCGAGUGGCGAACGGGUGAGUAAUACAUCGGAACGUGCCCAGUCGUGGGGGAUAACGUAGCGAAAGUUGCGCUAAUACCGCAUACGAUCUAAGGAUGAAAGCGGGGGACCGUACGGCCUCGCGCGAUUGGAGCGGGCGAUGUCAGAUUGGGUAGUUGGUGAGGUAAAGGCUCACCAAGCCGACGAUCUGUAGCUGGUCUGAGAGGGCGACCAGCCACACUGGGACUGAGACACGGCCCAGACUCCUACGGGAGGCAGCAGUGGGGAAUUUUGGACAAUGGACGCUAGUCUGAUCCAGCCAUUCCGCGUGCAGGACGAAGGCCUUCGGGUUGUAAACUGCUUUUGUACGGAACGAAAAAGCUCUUACUAAUACUAGGAGUCCAUGACGGUACCGUAAGAAUAAGCACCGGCUAACUACGUGCCAGCCGCCGCGGUAA
rnacentral:rRNA from 1 species